rnacentral:lncRNA from 1 species
GGAUAGUGCAUUACAUGUAAAACAUAUUCAUAGUAUUUAUCUAUGACUCUAAUUAUAUUUACAUAAUUGUUUUAAUAUUCAUUAUAAUAUUAUUAUUACAUUAUUAAUGUUGAUUCUAAUAUUACUAUAAAGCAAUUAAUAAUAAUAAUUUAAAUUAUUAUCAUCAUCAUCAUAACCUUUUACAAUUAAUUGGGGUCGGCUAGAUGAAUCAUGAUCAUCCAUUAUGCUCUAUUAAAGGUUAUACGCUCAAUGAGACCAUAAGUCCUCAUAUCAUUUCGGAUUAGUUCCAACUAUAUCAUUUUGGGCUUACCCCUUACCCUUUCAAAUCAUUCCACGUGAAUUAACUUGCAUCUCCUAGAAGGUGUUGUACUAGGUCGGCGUGACACAUGACCAGCUUACCUAGGUCUUCUCUCUCUCAUCUUACUGCCUAUAGUACCACACUUAAAUUUUUUCCAAUUGAUUCAUUUCGAAUUCUAUCCCUUCUUGUCUUGCCAGUCAUCCAUCUCAACAUUCUCAUCUCUUCUACACUCAUUCUAUUGGUCUACUGUUUUUCGUUUGCCCAACAUUCUAUCCCAUAGAGCAAAGCUGAUCUUAUAUCUAUCGUAUAGAACUUGCCUUUCAACUUUGUC